rnacentral:misc_RNA from 1 species
UUUCCGUAGGUGAACCUGCGGAAGGAUCAUUAUUGGAUUUUGGAACUUCAGGCUGCUGCUGGCUCUCCUCGGAGGGCAUGUGCACGCUUGUUGUCCAUUAUUUCUCCCACUGUGCACAAAUUGUAGACCUUUCAGUAGGCCUAUGUUGUUUUUCACAAUCUCUGAAUGUAAUAGAAUGGUUUUGAAUCUUGGGAAAUACAAUACAACUUUCAGCAACGGAUCUCUUGGCUCUCGCAUCUAUUAAUAAC